CCUACGGGUGGCAGCAGUGGGGAAUAUUGCACAAUGGGCGCAAGCCUGAUGCAGCAACGCCGCGUGAAGGAAGAAGGUUUUCGGAUUGUAAACUUCUAUCAGUAGGGAAGAACGAAAUGACGGUACCUAACUAAGAAGCCCCGGCUAACUACGUGCCAGCAGCCGCGGUAAUCCGUAGGGGGCAAGCGUUAUCCGGAAUUACUGGGUGUAAAGGGAGAGUAGGCGGCAAGGUAAGCGAUAUGUGAAAGCCAUAAGCUUAACCUAAGGAUUGCAUACCGAACUAGCUAGCUAGAGUACAGGAGAGGAAAGCGGAAUUCCUAGUGUAGCGGUGAAAUGCGUAGAUAUUAGGAAGAACACCAGUGGCGAAGGCGGCUUUCUGGACUUAAACUGACGCUGAGGCUCGAAAGCGUGGGGAGCGAACAGGAUUAGAUACCCGUGUAGUC
rnacentral:rRNA from 1 species